GGCUCCCCGUUGUAAUAUUUAUGUGGGGGGUCGGACCUGCCCGGUGACUUGGGGGUUAAACGGCUGCAGUAUAUUGACUGUGCAAAGGUAGCAUAAUCAUUUGUCUUUUAAUUGGAGACUGGUAUGAAUGGUCUGACGAAGGUGCAACUGUCUCCUUGUGAGUGUAUAGGGAAAUUAUAUUCUAGGUGAGAAUACCUAGUUUUUGCUGAGGGACGAGAAGACCCUAUUGAGCUUAAGUGAUGCUUGGUGAUGGGCGGGAAGCAGAGGUUGCAGGGGGCCUGUUGGUAGGCGAUAUCUUUGGUUGGGGCAACCGGUGGACAAGGGCAACUUCUCUUGUUUUAGUUAGUGAUAUGGCGUUUAGUUUCUUGGACUAGGCUGAUAAGUAAUGUGAUCCAGCUUUGAUGUGUGUUGAUUAUAAGAAAAGUUACCAUAGGGAUAACAGCGCUAUCUUUUUGGAGAGUUCACAUUGAGAAAAAGGUGUGCGACCUCGAUGUUGGACUAAGAUGUCCUAGGGGCGUAGAGGCUUCUUUGGGUUGGUCUGUUCUACCAUUAAAAUCUUACG
rnacentral:rRNA from 1 species